rnacentral:rRNA from 1 species
UACAGAGGGGGCAAGCGUUGUUCGGAAUUACUGGGCGUAAAGGGCGCGUAGGCGGCCUGCUAAGUCGAACGUGAAAUCCCUGGGCUCAACCCAGGAACUGCGUCCGAUACUGGUUGGCUUGAAUCCGGGAGAGGGAUGUGGAAUUCCAGGUGUAGCGGUGAAAUGCGUAGAUAUCUGGAGAAACACCGGUGGCGAAGGCGACAUCCUGGACCGGUAUUGACGCUGAGGCGCGAAAGCCAGGGGAGCAAACGGG